rnacentral:rRNA from 1 species
GGAUUAGAUACCCUGGUAGUCCACGCCGUAAACGAUGUCUACUAGCCGUUGGAGGUCUUGUAUCUUUGGUGGCGCAGCUAACGCAAUAAGUAGACCGCCUGGGGAGUACGGUCGCAAGAUUAAAACUCAAAUGAAUUGACGGGGGCCCGCACAAGCGGUGGAGCAUGUGGUUUAAUUCGAAGCAACGCGAAGAACCUUACCUACUCUUGACAUCCAGAGAACUUUCCAGAGAUGGAUUGGUGCCUUCGGGAACUCUGAGACAGGUGCUGCAUGGCUGUCGUCAGCUCGUGCCG